UGUCUCGUGACUGCGUGCCUUUUGAAGAAUGAGCCUGCGAGUUUGCGGUGUGUAGCGAGGUUAACCCGUGUGGGGUAGCCGUAGCGAAAGCGAGUCCGAAUAGGGCGUCUGAGUUGCAUGCCCAAGACCCGAAGCGGAGUGAUCUAGCCAUGGGCAGGUUGAAGCGGAGGUAAGACUUCGUGGAGGACCGAACCCACCAGGGUUGAAAACCUGGGGGAUGACCUGUGGUUAGGGGUGAAAGGCCAAUCAAACUCCGUGAUAGCUGGUUCUCCCCGAAAUGCAUUUAGGUGCAGCGUCACGUGUUUCUUGCCGGAGGUAGAGCACUGGAUAGGCGAUGGGCCUCACCGGGUUACUGACCUUAGCCAAACUCCGAAUGCCGGUAAGUGAGAGCGUGGCAGUGAGACUGUGGGGGAUAAGCUCCAUGGUCGAGAGGGAAACAGCCCAGAACACCGACUAAGGUCCCUAAGCGUGUGCUAAGUGGGAAAGGAUGUGGAGUCGCACAGACAACCAGGAGGUUGGCUUAGAAGCAGCCAUCCUUGAAAGAGUGCGUAAUAGCUCACUGGUCAAGUGAUUCCGCGCCGACAAUGUAGCGGGGCUCAAGCACACCACCGAAGUCGUGUCAUUGCAGCAAUACCUCCAACGGGGGCUGUGAUGGGUAGGGGAGCGUCGUGUGCCGGGUGAAGCAGCGGAGGAAUCCAGUUGUGGACGGUUCACGAGUGAGAAUGCAGGCAUGAGUAGCGAUACAAGAGUGGGAAACUCUUGCGCCGAUUGACCAAGGGUUCCUGGGUCAAGCUGAUCUGCCCAGGGUAAGUCGGGACCUAAGGCGAGGCCGACAGGCGUAGUCGAUGGACAACGGGUUGAUAUUCCCGUACCCGCUUUGAAGCGCCAACGUCGAACCUCUGAAUGCUAAAGCCGUGAAGCCGGCCCGGAGUCUUCGGACGAUGGGACGUGGUGGAGCCGCUGACCCAACAGGGUAGUAGGUGAGCGAUGGGGUGACGCAGGAAGGUAGUCCAGCCCGGGCGGUGGUUGUCCCGGGGUAAGGGUGUAGGCCGAGUGAUAGGCAAAUCCGUCACUCAUUAAGGCUGAGACCUGAUGCCGAGCCGAUUGUGGUGAAGUGGAUGAUCCUAUGCUGUCGAGAAAAGCCUCUAGCGAGUUUCAUGGCGGCCCGUACCCCAAACCGACUCAGGUGGUCAGGUAGAGAAUACCGAGGCGUUCGGGUGAACUAUGGUUAAGGAACUCGGCAAAAUGCCCCCGUAACUUCGGGAGAAGGGGGGCCACACCUGGUGAUG
rnacentral:rRNA from 1 species